rnacentral:rRNA from 1 species
GGGGAAUCUUGCACAAUGGGCGAAAGCCUGAUGCAGCCAUGCCGCGUGAAUGAUGAAGGCCUUAGGGUUGUAAAAUUCUUUCGCCAGGGAUGAUAAUGACAGUACCUGGUAAAGAAGCCCCGGCUAACUUCGUGCCAGCAGCCGCGGUAAUACGAAGGGGGCUAGCGUUGUUCGGAAUUACUGGGCGUAAAGCGCACGUAGGCGGACUUUUAAGUCAGAUGUGAAAUCCCGGGGCUCAACCUCGGAACUGCAUUUGAAACUGGAAGUCUAGAGACCAGGAGAGGUUAGCGGAAUACCGAGUGUAGAGGUGAAAUUCGUAGAUAUUCGGUGGAACACCAGUGGCGAAGGCGGCUAACUGGACUGGUACUGACGCUGAGGUGCGAAAGUGUGGGGAGCAAAC